GAAUAAAGUCAGGUCACGGAGCCAGCAGCGGCAACCCGCUGGGGUCUCCGUUUCAGGCUGUGGAAGCUUUGUUGUUUCAGUCUUUGCAAUAAAUCUUGCUGCUGUUCACCCUUUGGGUUUGUGCGGCUUUUAUGAGCUGUAACACUCCCCGAGAAGGUCUGCAGUUCCACUCCUGAAGCCAGCGAGACUGGGAACCCACUGGGAGGGAGGAACAACUCCAGACGGGAGACACGAACAACUCUGGACGCGCCAUCUUUAUGAACCGUAAAAGUCACUGCGAGGGUCUGCGGCUUCAUUCUUGAAGUCAGCGAGACCAAGAACCCACCAAUUCCGGACACGAUCUGACUUAUCCUUGUAUGUGCUAAACUCAGUCUCUACCCACAAGUGGAUUUGUAACUGGUUAAUCUGUCCAUUGGGAAUGUUUACUGUGGGCCUACCAUGUACCAGGGACUACACCAUGCUAGGAAGACCUGCAUAGAGUUUACAGCUGGUCCUAGGCGAUGCUGAUGCUGCAGGCCCAAGGAUCACACCUGGAGAAGCAUGGACACCUUGUUGUAAACAGAAGAUCUACUGCUGACCACAAGCUAGCAGCCAUGAGCUAUGGCUGAUGUAAGGAAGGACACAGAAGAACAGACCAGCCAGGGUAAACUGGGGAUAUGCAGUGGGCACAGGUGAGAGAGAGGAGUUUGGCGGCACUGGUUUCCCAAGACACAGGACACAAGACCCCUCCAAUAAAACAGGAUGCAGUAGAGAAGCUGAGCAAAACCUACCAAAACCAAGAAGGCAACAGAAGUGGCCUCUGGUUACCCUUGCUGCUCAUUAUAUGCUAAUUAUAACACACUAGCAGGCAAAAAGGCACUCCCACCAGUGCCAUGAGGGUUUACAAAUGCCAUGGCAACCUGGCACCCCAAUCCCCACCCCCAAUAAAUUACCCGGAAAACUCAUGAAUAAUCCACACUUUGUUUAGCGUAUGAUCAAGAAAUAAAUCAUAAAAAUAGCCAACCAGCAGCCCUCAAGGCUGCCUUGCCUAUGGAGUAGGCACGUUUUUAUUGCAUUACUUUCUUA
rnacentral:lncRNA from 1 species